GACAGAGGGGGGCAAGCGUUUGUCCGGAUUUAUUGGGCGUAAAGAGCUCGUAGGCGGCUCGUCGCGUCGACCGUGAAAACCCGCGGCUUAACUGCGGGCUUGCGGUUGAUACGGGCGGGCUAGAGUUCGGUAGGGGAGACUGGAAUUCCUGGUGUAGCGGUGAAAUGCGCAGAUAUCAGGAGGAACACCGGUGGCGAAGGCGGGUCUCUGGGCCGAUACUGACGCUGAGGAGCGAAAGCGUGGGGAGCGAACAGG
rnacentral:rRNA from 1 species